GACGAACGCUGGCGGCGUGCCUAAUACAUGCAAGUAGAACGCUGAAGGAGGAGCUUGCUCUUCUGGAUGAGUUGCGAACGGGUGAGUAACGCGUAGGUAACCUGCCUGGUAGCGGGGGAUAACUAUUGGAAACGAUAGCUAAUACCGCAUAACAGUAGAUGUUGCAUGACAUUUGCUUAAAAGGUGCAAUUGCACCACUACCAGAUGGACCUGCGUUGUAUUAGCUAGUUGGUGGGGUAACGGCUCACCAAGGCGACGAUACAUAGCCGACCUGAGAGGGGGAUCGGCCACACUGGGACUGAGACACGGCCCAGACUCCUACGGGAGGCAGCAGUAGGGAAUCUUCGGCAAUGGACGGAAGUCUGACCGAGCAACGCCGCGGGAGUGAAGAAGGGUUUCGGAUCGUAAAGCUCUGUUGUAAGAGAAGAACGAGUGUGAGAGUGGAAAGUUCACACUGUGACGGUAGCUUACCAGAAAGGGACGGCUAACUACGUG
rnacentral:rRNA from 1 species